UAAAUCUGGCCACACUAGUCAGUUUUCAGAAGUUGAGGUGUCACAGACUGCUGAUGAUCCUCCAGAGCACCCAAAUCUUGAGCAACAUCUUCAGGAACUCAGGGAUCUCGUGAACUCUGUCAUUGUCCCUGCAUCAGUCCAAGUGGAGGAGACACCUGCCAUGUCUACAUGGACUAAAAGACAGUCCGCUGUUGAAAAAAAGUUCCGAACUGCAGUGCCAGAGCUGUUGGAUAGCAAAUUUGCCGCUGAGACAGUAAUAGAGCAUUGCUGUCAUUUAUGCAAAACAGCUGGGGCAGCGAUCCGGUGCCUGGGCUGCGUUGCUUCAGGAACUCAGUAUCUCUGUCCAGCAUGCGAUUCAGCAGUCCACCAGAAACAUGUUGUCACUAUCUGUGACUGUUUUUAACCCAUAAGAAGAUUAAGUUUUAGGUCCAUACAGCCUCUAUCUGCCUGCUGUGUUCUGUCCCCUUUGUUCCUCCAAAUGGACCCCAGGGAUGAGUGAUUUCCUUGGCCUCAAAUAUUGGCCUGCAACCCCAAGCUUCCAGUUGCUGUUCAAAUUUGAUGUGUUCACAUCAUUUCAGCAGAUGAAGUUAGACAGCGCAGCUUUAUCACAGCAAGCGUUUAUCAGAAUGCUUGAACAUGGAGCCCUUAGUAC